rnacentral:rRNA from 1 species
AUUGAACGCUGGCGGCAGGCCUAACACAUGCAAGUCGAACGAGUGGCGGACGGGUGAGUAAUGUCUGGGAAACUGCCUGAUGGAGGGGGAUCACUACUGGAAACGGUAGCUAAUACCGCAUACCAUCGGAUGUGCCCAGAUGGGAUUAGCUAGUAGGUGGGGUAAAGGCUCACCUAGGCGAAGAUCCCUAGCUGGUCUGAGAGGAUGACCAGGAACACGGUAACUGAAGCACGGUGCAGACUCCUAGGGGAGGCAGCAGUGGGGAAUAUUGCACAAGGGGUGCGAGCCUGAUGCAGCGAUGCCGCGUGUAUGAAGAAGGCCUUCGGGUUGUAAAGUACGUUCAGCGGGGAGGCGUUACUCGCAGAAGAAGCACCGGCUAACUCCUUGCCAGCAGCCGCGGUAAUUC